rnacentral:misc_RNA from 1 species
GAUGAAGAACGUAGCGAAAUGCGAUACGUAGUGUGAAUUGCACAAUUCAGUGAAUCAUCGAAUCUUUGAACGCACAUUGCACCUCUCGGUAUUCCGGGAGGUAUGCCUGUUCGAGCGUCAUUUGUACCCUCAAGCUCUGCUUGGUGUUGGGUGUUUGUUCCGCCUCUGUGUGUGAACUCGCCUCAAAACAAUUGGCAGCCGGCGUACUUGUUUCGGAGCGCAGCACAUUUUGCGAUCCAGAUCAACGUACAGCGGCAUCCAAGAAGCCUUAUUUAACGCUCUUGACCUCGGAUCAGGUAGGGAUACCCGCUGAACUUAAGCAUAUCAAUAAGCGGAGGA